AACGAACGCUGGCGGCAUGCCUAACACAUGCAAGUCGAACGAGACCUUCGGGUCUAGUGGCGCACGGGUGCGUAACGCGGGGGAACCUGCCCUUAGGUUCCGAAUAACUCCCCGAAAGGGGUGCUAAUACCGGAUAAUGUCAUCGGACCAAAGAUUUCUCGCGUUUGGAUGGGCCCGGGUUGGAUUAGUUAGUUGGUAGGGUAAAAGCCGACCAAGGGCACGAUCCAUAGCUGGUCUGAGAGGAGGAUAAAGCACGAUGGGACUGAGACACGGCCUAGUAUCCGACGGGAGGCAGGAGUGGGGAAUAUUGGACGAGGAGCGAAAGUCUGAUACAGCCAUGCCGGGGAAGUGAUGAAGGGCUUAGGGUUGUAAAGCUCUCUUAGCCGAGAUGAUAAUGACAGUACCGGGAGAAUAAGCACCGGCUAACUACGUG
rnacentral:rRNA from 1 species